rnacentral:rRNA from 1 species
AUGUCACUAAACUUGAAGUGCACUUCAGAUGCUACCGUUCAGCUUUGCAAAGGGUCCGAAACUAUAAAGAAAAUGUUUAUCAGAAGUACAAAGCAUCUUAACAUAACUAAAAUUACAUCAAACUCAUUGGGCUAUCGAACGAUCACUAUGGCCAACAGAGAUGCACCUUCCCGCCAUCUCGGCAUCUGCCUAAACGCCGCCCAUGUAAGAAGAAACCCUAAUCUAAACAACUUUCCCGGAGCCAAGGCAUUAGGAUGCAUCUCCAUGCGAUCCGCAGCCAGAGCAGCAGACGUGAGGGAAGAGAAUCCAAAGGCUAGCCGACAAAGCUGGAAGGAGCCCAAUCUGUCGGCACCGUCGCCUAUAUCGAGCGCAGAGAAAAAAAAACAAUUCUUGUGGUGCUAA